GACGAACCACACAAACGUUAUUCGGAAUUACUGGGCUUAAAGGGUGCGUAGGCGGCGCAGAAAGUAGGGUGUGAAAUCCCUCGGCUCAACCGAGGAACUGCGCCCUAAACUACUGUGCUCGAGGGGAGGUAGAGGUGAGCGGAACUUAGGGCGGAGCGGUGAAAUGCGUUGAUAUCCUAAGGAACACCGGUGGCGAAAGCGGCUCACUGGACCUCUUCUGACGCUGAGGCACGAAAGCUAGGGUAGCGAACGGG
rnacentral:rRNA from 1 species